GUCAAGUCAUCAUGGCCUUUAUGCCCAGGGCUACACACGUGCUACAAUGGGGCGUACAAAGGGCUGCCACUUAGCGAUAAGGAGCCAAUCCCAAAAAACGCCUCUCAGUUCAGAUUGCAGUCUGCAACUCGACUGCAUGAAGCUGGAAUCGCUAGUAAUCGUAUAUCAGCAAUGAUACGGUGAAUACGUUCCCGGACCUU
rnacentral:rRNA from 1 species